rnacentral:rRNA from 1 species
AGCGAACGCUGGCGGCAGGCCUAAAACAUGCAAGUCGAACGGAUCCUUCGGGAUUAGUGGCGGACGGGUGAGUAACACGUGGGAACGUGCCUUUUGGUUCGGAACAACUCAGGGAAACUUGAGCUAAUACCGAAUGUGCCCUUCGGGGAAAGAUUAUCGCCAUUAGAGCGGCCCGCGUCUGAUUAGCUUGUUGGUGAGGUAAAGGCUCACCAAGGCGACGAUCAGUAGCUGGUCUGAGAGGAUGAUCAGCCACACUGGGACUGAGACACGGCCCAGACUCCUACGGGAGGCAGCAGUUAGGAAUCUUGCGCAAUGGGGGAAACCCUGACGCAGCCAUGCCGCGUGAAUGAUGAAGGUCUUAGGAUUGUAAAAUUCUUUCAGCGGGGACGAUAAUGACGGUACCCGCAGAAGAAGCCCCGGCUAACUUCGUGCCAGCAGCCGCGGUAAU